CCUACGGGAGGCAGCAGUGGGGAAUAUUGCACAAUGGGCGAAAGCCUGAUGCAGCGACGCCGCGUGAGGGAUGACGGCCUUCGGGUUGUAAACCUCUUUCAGCAGGGAAGAAGCGAAAGUGACGGUACCUGCAGAAGAAGCGCCGGCUAACUACGUGCCAGCAGCCGCGGUAAUACGUAGGGCGCAAGCGUUGUCCGGAAUUAUUGGGCGUAAAGAGCUCGUAGGCGGCUUGUCACGUCGGGUGUGAAAGCCCGGGGCUUAACCCCGGGUCUGCAUUCGAUACGGGCUAGCUAGAGUGUGGUAGGGGAGAUCGGAAUUCCUGGUGUAGCGGUGAAAUGCGCAGAUAUCAGGAGGAACACCGGUGGCGAAGGCGGAUCUCUGGGCCAUUACUGACGCUGAGGAGCGAAAGCGUGGGGAGCGAACAGGAUUAGAUACCCUGGUAGUCCACGCCGUAAACGGUGGGAACUAGGUGUUGGCGACAUUCCACGUCGUCGGUGCCGCNGCUACGCAUAGUUACCCGCCCGGGACGGUACGGCCGCGAGACGUAAACGUUAAAGUAGUAGUAGUAACGUGUGAGAGUCGACGACGACGACGACGGAGGAGGAGG
rnacentral:rRNA from 1 species